GCUGGGCAUGGUGGCUCAUGCCUGUAAUCCCAGCACUUUAGGAAGCUGAGGUGGGUGGAUCACUUUAGUCCAGGAGUUCUGGACCAGCCUGGGCAACAGGGUGAAACCCAGUCUCUA
ensembl:misc_RNA Metazoa_SRP Metazoan signal recognition particle RNA